GUGGAUGUCGGUGUGCAGACACAUGGCUCUCACGGGCACUCCACAAAGUUCUUCGUGUAUUUACAGCCCAGGAAUGAGAUAUCAUUCUAAUUGGACCGGAUUCAUAAGGAUUUCAGGAAGGUUUUGCUAAGUGGGUGCAUACAUCUGGAUGCUUUCUUUUUCAAGCCAAACUCAGAAGUUGUUAAGCCUUUGCCAUCUCUCACUGGUGACACUGGACUGUGUGACAUUGACAGUGACAGCUGAAGCUGGCUGGUAUUGGAGCUGGCAAGGUAAAUGUUAUCAGAGAAGGAAGCCUGGACCCGGCCUGUCCCCUGGUACCUGUGUGAUGCUACAGUGUAACCGUUCUUUAGCAGUGAGCUAAAGGAUAAGAGUAGGACAACGCCAUGAUCCUGGCACUGGAGAGCUGUGGGUGCUGAGCAGGCAUGGCUCCUCGUUGUUCUCAUCUCAUCACUGUCUGUGUUGAGAGAGGGAGUUAUGGCCUGGGUCUAUGGAUGCCAUGAGAUGAGCAGCUUUCCCCUGUC